rnacentral:rRNA from 1 species
AAAGGUGAAAAGAACCCCUGGCGGGGAGUGAAAAGAACCUGAAACCGUGUGCUUACAAACAGUUAGAGCCCAUCAAUGGGUGAUAGCGUGCCUUUUGUAGAAUGAGCCGGCGAGUUACGUUAAUUUGCAAGGUUAAGCUUUUAGGAGUGGAGCCGUAGCGAAAGCAAGUCUUAAUAGGGCGAAUAAGUAGAUUGACGUAUACCCGAAACCGGGUGAUCUAGCCAUGAGCAGGUUGAAGCUUGGGUAAAACCAGGUGGAGGACCGAACCAGGGUCUGUUGAAAAAGACUUGGAUGACUUGUGGCUAGGGGUGAAAUUCCAAUCGAACCCGGAGAUAGCUGGUUCUCCCCGAAAUAGCUUUAGGGCUAGCGUUGUGAGAAGAGUUAUACGAAGGUAGAGCACUGAAUGGGUGAGGGCCGCACCUCGCGGUACCAAUCUCAAUCAAACUCCGAAUGUCGUAUAAUAUGCGCAGCAGUAAGACUAUGGGUGAUAAGGUCCAUGGUCAAAAGGGAAACAGCCCAGACCGCCAGUUAAGGUCCCAAAAUUAUGCUAAGUGGGAAAGGAGGUGGAGUCGCUUAAACAACUAGGAGGUUGGCUCAGAAGCAGCCAUCCUUUAAAGAGUGCGUAAUAGCUCACUAGUCGAGUGAUUCUGCGCCGAAAAUGUAUCGGGGCUAAGCAUAAUACCGAAGCUGCGGGAUUAGAUGAAGAAUCUAAUCGGUAGGGGAGCGUACUAAGUGCGUAGAAGGUUGACCGGAAGGGCAGCUGGAGCGCUUAGCAGUGAGUAUGCCGGUGUGAGUAGCGAUAAGAUGGGUGAGAAUCCCAUCCGUCGAAAGCCUAAGGUUUCCAGGGGUAAGGCUCGUCCUCCCUGGGUAAGUCGGGUCCUAAGGUGAGGCUGAGAAGCGUAGCUGAUGGACAUCAGGUUGAUAUUCCUGAACCACCAUAAAACUGAAGGAAUGACGGAGGAGGCUAAUCAGAGCUGAUUAAUGGAUUUCAGUUUAAGUACAAAGAGGGUUACGUAGGCAAAUCCGCGUAGCAAAACCUUGAAGUAUGACGACGUAAGUCUGGUGAAGCCACACUUCCAAGAAAAGUUUCUAGGUGUAUUUUAUGGUGCCCGUACCGUAAACGGACACACGUAGGCGAGGAGAGAAUCCAAAGACGCGCGAGAUAAUUCUUGUUAAGGAACUCUGCAAAAUUACUCUGUAACUUCGGAAUAAAGAGGGCUCCCGUGAGGGAGACGCAGAAAAUAGGCCCAAGCGACUGUUUAACAAAAACAUAGGUUUCUGCUAAAGCGUAAGCUGAUGUAUAGGAGCUGACGCCUGCCCAGUGCUGGAAGGUUAAGAGGAGAAGUUAGUCGCAAGGCGAAGCUUUGAAUUGAAGCCCCAGUAAACGGCGGCCGUAACUAUAACGGUCCUAAGGUAGCGAAAUUCCUUGUCAGGUAAGUUCUGACCCGCACGAAAGGCGUAACGAUUUGGGCGCUGUCUCAACAAGAAACUCGGUGAAAUCAUAGUACCUGUGAAGAUGCAGGUUACCCGCGAUCAGACGGAAAGACCCCAUGGAGCUUCACUGCAACUUAAUAUUGAUAUUGGGUGUGUGAUGUACAGGAUAGGUGGGAGACAAAGAAGCGAGUACGCUAGUAUUCGUGGAGUCAACCUUGGGAUACCACCCCUCGCACAUUUAGUAUCUAACUAGUUUCCAUAAGCUGGGAAUAGAACAGUGUUAGGUGGGCAGUUUGACUGGGGCGGUCGCC